UUUGCUCCUGAGAUCGGGUGAGGCCAUCCGCCGAAUUUAAGCAUAUAAUUAAGCGGCAGAAAAAAAAUAACCAUGAUUCCCUU
rnacentral:rRNA from 1 species